rnacentral:lncRNA from 1 species
UACAGACUGCUGCCAUGCCGGCUGGCUAGGUCACUCUCUGGAGCUAUCUGAGAAGAAGGAACCAGAGUUGAGAAGAUGCCUCCAGAAGUCUGGCCUCAAGGCAAGCCUGUGGAGCACUUUCUUAGUGAGGGGAUGUGUAAGGGCCAGCCCACUAUGGGCAGUGCAACCUCUGAGCAUCUGCUCCUGGAGUGUUUAUGAAAACAGGCUGAACAAGGAAGAAGCCGGUAAGCAGCACUCUUGAAUUACCUGGGCAUCAGCUCCUGCCUCCAGAAUCCUGUUUUGAGUUCAUGCCCUGACUUUCCUGACUGAUGGACUACAAGGUUGGUUAUGCACCUCUUAAAAUGAAGAUACAAGACACAUGUGAUUCUGAACAAUAUAAUUGUCAUCUAGCUACCAAAUAGUUUAAAGGCAGCUUAGUUCUUUUGGUUAAAAUAUGAAUAAUGCAUAAAAGGAGCCUGUAAAGAGAAGUAACUGGAGGGGAGGAAGGAUGCUGCUCAAUGUAUUUUUUGAUGAAAAUGAGAAAGAAUAACAUGUUUAAAAAACAUGGACAAAUAAAUUGGAUGGUCAUUUACCCCAAACUGACUGAAAAUGUCUGGCUGUUACAUGCUCAGUACACAAGCUACAUGAAAUACAAUCAAACUAAAUGGACCUCUUGGAAUGACUGUUUAAGAUAAGCAUGAGAAUGGUGUCAAGCAAGGUGAGUCUUUGGACACUGUUGAUGGCAAUGUGAAAUGAUACAACCAACA